rnacentral:lncRNA from 1 species
ACUAAAGAGACACGACAUAAAUGCACAAGAACAAGCCAACUAAGUCGCAUAAAUAUGCUCCUAUCAAAUUCCCCCACACUUAGCUUUUGCUAGUCCUCGAGCAAAACAAAAUAACUAAACAAAACCAAACCAACAAAAUGAACAAAAUCCAACCUAAGCCUUCCAACGUUUGCCUCAGGGAUUUCCAAUGUACAUGUCAUGUUAAAAAUUGUCAUCCCCACAGAUUUUAGUUGUCUUCACACUUAAGCACAUACUUAAUCAUAGUCACCACUUACUUGUUCGCAAUUAAUCGAUUAAAACAAUGUUUUUGAUGUAGUAACAUGCCUUAGAGAAUUUACUCAAGUCCUUACAAAGUAUGCACUCAAUUUUCACUCAGAUUUUCUAACUACACACACUAUACUAGUCAUAUGUGAGAAGAUUGAUGUAAACAUGAAAACGAACGCUCACAUAUAUGUAUUACAAAGAAAGCGAUUUCUGGAGCAUGUUUAGAUAUGAUCUCAUGAAUGGAAUGCUACUACUUAGAUGCGAGAACCAGUGACACCAUAUGCUCAUAUCAAUUUCAAACUCCACAUAUUGAACCGCAUGACACUCAAGAUGAAGUUAAGGGUUGUAACGGGGCUUGGGGUGAUGGCUAACAAAUGAAGGAUAAGGAUAACAAUCGUUCUUAAAGCAAUAGCAAGCAAAGUAAUGAAAUUGAAACUUAGAAUUCACUUAGAUUGCAGAAAUCAGCUUUUAGACACGAAGGGAAAAUUCAAGCAAUAUUUAGGGCCGAAUUCUAUGUUUUGGACCCUUUCUUCAACAAGCAGCACUUUAAAACUCUUUUUCACAUAUUUUUCAACUCCCCUUUUUUUUUUCUCAACUCUUCUUUU